UACAGAGGGUGCAAGCGUUGCUCGGAAUUAUUGGGCGUAAAGGGUAGGUAGGUGGUCUCAUUUGUCAGGGUGAAAGCCCUGGGCUUAAACCCAGGAAGUGCCCUUGAAACGGUGGACUAGAGUAUUGGAGAGGGUCGUGGAAUUCCCGGCGUAGCGGUGAAAUGCGUAGAGAAUCGGGAGGGACAUCUGAGGCGAAGGCGGCGACCUGGACAUGACUGACACUCGAACU
rnacentral:rRNA from 1 species